rnacentral:misc_RNA from 1 species
GAUGAAGAACGCAGCGAAAUGCGAUAAGCAAUGUGAAUUGCAGAAUUCAGUGAAUCAUCGAAUCUUUGAACGCACAUUGCGCCCCUUGGUAUUCCGAGGGGCAUGCCUGUUCGAGCGUCAUUACACCACUCAAGCUAUGCUUGGUAUUGGGCGUCGUCCUUAGUUGGGCGCGCCUUAAAGACCUCGGCGAGGCCACUCCGGCUUUAGGCGUAGUAGAAUUUAUUCGAACGUCUGUCAAAGGAGAGGAACUCUGCCGACUGAAACCUUUAUUUUUCUAGGUUGACCUCGGAUCAGGUAGGGAUACCCGCUGAACUUAAGCAUAUCAAUAAGCGGAGGA